GCAUUCGUCAAAACGCCCAGUUGUGCUCAAAAAAAGUUACGAAGAGUUUGUAGAAGACAUUAAUAGAAGAUAGAAGCCAAAAGAACAGUCUUUCUUCUAAAGAAGGAUGCUCUUAGAGCAUGUACAAAGGUAAUUUAAAGCAAGCGUUUGUUAGGUUGUACUUAGUUCAACGCAUUUUAUUGAAAUUUGAAUGGAAUGGAUUGGCGAAGGCCGGUCACUGCUUUGGGCCGAUUUUCCUCGAAUUUUAACCAGCUAAUCUUGUCAAUUCUACUUCAAUAAUGCUUUCGGUAGUUUCAUGUAAUUCAUAUGUGUACUUUCUCUUAUUUUAGAACGAAAUUUAUGAAGAAAAAGCGUGAAAUUCCAAAGAAUUCUGGCCACGUGGAAAAGUCACAAUGCAGUGAAUCUGAUAGGUAUGCAUCGCCUUGGGCCGAUUUUCCUUGACCUUUAACUAGCUAUAAUCUUGUCAAUUCUACUUCAAAAAUGCCUUUGAUAGUUUCAUGUAACUCAUAUUUGUAUUUUGUCUUAUUUUAGAACGAAAUUUGUGAAGAAAAAGCAUGCAAUUCCAAAGAAUUCUGGCCACGUGGAAAGUCACAAUGCAGUGAAUCUGAUAGGUAUGCAUCGCCUUGGGCCGAUUUUUCUUGAAAUUUAACUAGCUAUAAUCUUGUCAAUUCUACUUCAACAAUGCCUUUGAUAGUUUCAUGUAACUCAUAUUUGUAUUUUGUCUUAUUUUAGAACGAAAUUUGUGAAGAAAAAGCAUGAAAUUCCAAAGAAUUCUGGCCACGUGGAAAGUCACAAUGCAGUGAAUCUGAUAG